UACGAAGGGGGCUAGCGUUGCUCGGAAUGACUGGGCGUAAAGGGCGCGUAGGCGGCGCACUCAGUCCGGCGUGAAAGCCCUGGGCUCAACCUGGGGACUGCGCUGGAGACGGGUGUGCUCGAGGGUGGAAGAGGCUCGCGGAAUUCCCAGUGUAGAGGUGAAAUUCGUAGAUAUUGGGAAGAACACCGGUGGCGAAGGCGGCGAGCUGGUCCAUCACUGACGCUGAGGCGCGACAGCGUGGGGAGCAAACAGG
rnacentral:rRNA from 1 species